rnacentral:rRNA from 1 species
UACGGAGGGGGCAAGCGUUAUCCGGAUUUACUGGGUGUAAAGGGAGUGUAGACGGCAUGGUAAGUCAGAUGUGAAAGCCCGGGGCUCAACCCCGGGACUGCAUUUGAAACUAUCAAGCUGGAGUGCAGGAGAGGUGAGUGGAAUUCCUAGUGUAGCGGUGAAAUGCGUAGAGAUUAGGAGGAAUAUCGGUGGCGAAGGCGGCUAACUGGACAGUAACUGACGCUGAGGCGCGAAAGCGUGGGGAGCAAACAGG